rnacentral:rRNA from 1 species
UACAGAGGUCCCAAGCGUUGUUCGGAUUCACUGGGCGUAAAGGGUGCGUAGGCGGUUGGGUAAGUCUGUCGUGAAAUCUCCGAGCCUAACUCGGAAACUGCGUCGGAUACUAUUCAACUCGAGGAAUGGAGGGGAGACUGGAAUUCUCGGUGUAGCAGUGAAAUGCGUAGAUAUCGAGAGGAACACCAGUGGCGAAGGCGAGUCUCUGGACAUUUCCUGACGCUGAGGCACGAAAGCGUGGGUAGCAAACAGG